rnacentral:SRP_RNA from 1 species
UCGCGCUAAGCGGGGAGCUGGCGGUUCCCUGUACCUGCAAUCCGCCAUAGCAGGGCUGAAUCCCGGCUCGCGGCGCGUCCCCUGUGCGAAACGACGGCAGGCGACCGCGUUGAGGAUCGGGAGCUUCGCAACGAGGGGUCGAUGAACCCCGCCAGGCCCGGAAGGGAGCAACGGUAAGUCGAUCUCCCGUGUGCCGAGGUGACCCCGGUCGGAGCGGUUGGCAUGCCGCACGCCGCGGAGGGGCGCGACAACAGCCGGUGCGCGA